UGCAGGAGUAUUGCUCAGUACGGCGAGUGAAGCGGCAAAAGCUCAAAUUUUAAAGCUGGCACCUUCGGUGUCCGCGUUGUAAUUUUGUGAGGCAUCUCCGGGUAGGGCGCCGGCCUAAGUUCCUUGGAACAGGACGUCAUAGAGGGUGAGAAUCCCGUGCUUGGCUGGCUGUCCCCGUCCAUGUGAGGUGUCUUCGACGAGUCGAGUUGUUUGGGAAUGCAGCUCAAAAUGGGUGGUAAAUUUCAUCUAAAGCUAAAUAUUGGUGGGAGACCGAUAGCGCACAAGUAGAGUGAUCGAAAGAUGAAAAGCACUUUGAAAAUAGAGUUAAAAAGUACGUGAAAUUGUUGAAAGGGAAGCGCUUGAGACCAGACUUCGGUGGGGGGUGAUCAGCUGUCCUUCUGGGCGGUGCACUUGCUCCCCUCCGGGCCAGCAUCGGUUGGGGCGGCGGGAUAAAGAUCCCGGGAAUGUGGCUCCUUUCGGGGAGUGUUAUAGCCCGGGUGAAUGCCGCCAGUUCCGACCGAGGACCGCGCCUUCGGGCUAGGAUGCUUGGCAUAAUGGUCUUCAGCGACCCGUCUUGAACCCACGGGACCA
rnacentral:rRNA from 1 species